CGCACCCUGUUGUGAACUGUGCAUGUGAGGGAUCUGGGUUGCGCUGUCCUUAUGAGAGUCUAAUACCUAUUGAUCUGUCACUUUCUCCCAUCACGCUCAGGUGGGAACAUCCAGUUGCAGGAAAACAAGCUUAACACGCCCACUGAUUCUACAUUAUGGGUCUCCCUCUGUUGUCCAAGGCUGGAGUGUAGUAGUGCUAUCGCAGCUGACUGCAGCCUCAACCUUCCAGGCUGAAGCGAUCCUCCCACCUCAACCUCCCACGUGGCUGAGACUACAGGUGCUUGCCACUAUGCCCAACUAACAUUUGGAAUUUUCGUAUACGUGGAUUCUAGAGGGGUGACAGCGAAACGUGGGACCAUCCAGUUGCAGGAAAACAAGCUUGACACGCCCACUAAUUCUACAUUAUGCUCCUACCUCCCGGCAGCCUCUCCAGGCCCAGAACUUUCUCCAGUCAGCCUCUACAGACCAAGCUCAUGACUCACAAUGGCCUAUUUAGGCCCAUACCCUACGUCACGGCAGCCUCCGCAGAUGAGGCUACUGCCUCACAACAGCCUCCACAGGCACAGCUCCAUCGUUACAAUGGCCUCUUUAGACCCAGCUCCUGCCUCCCAGCCU
rnacentral:lncRNA from 10 species